rnacentral:rRNA from 1 species
UCGGGAAUUUUGGGCAAUGGGCGAAAGCCUGACCCAGCAACGCCGCGUGAAGGAUGAAGUAUUUCGGUAUGUAAACUUCGAAAGAAUAGGAAGAAUAAAUGACGGUACUAUUUAUAAGGUCCGGCUAACUACGUGCCAGCAGCCGCGGUAAUACGUAGGGACCAAGCGUUGUUCGGAUUUACUGGGCGUAAAGGGCGCGUAGGCGGCGUGGUAAGUCACUUGUGAAAUCUCCGAGCUUAACUCGGAACGGUCAAGUGAUACUGCUGUGCUAGAGUACAGAAGGGGCAAUCGGAAUUCUUGGUGUAGCGGUGAAAUGCGUAGAUAUCAAGAGGAACACCUGAGGUGAAGACGGGUUGCUGGGCUGAUACUGACGCUGAGGCGCGAAAGCUAGGGUAGCAAACGGGAUUAGAUACCCCUGUAGUCCCUGAGCGGGCUGGCAAGGCGCAU